AAUUUAGCGUACCAGUUGACGCAGAACGGAACGAUAAGCUUCUUAGCGAAGCACCACAUCUACCAAGGGAUGCAGCUAACGAUUGAUUACAGAUUGAUCGAAGAUGACAACUGUUGACACGUCUGUAUGUUGACAUAAGAGCGAUAAUAAGUGCGAGAUAAUGAUAAAGGCAGGUGCGCUUAUCGAUUAAACCGAUAAGCUGAUCGACGGUGCCAUAAAACACCGUAAAGAGCUAGAGAGAGAGAGAGAGUUAAGCUUGCUGCUUGCUGCAGUGUGCUAGUGUAUAACUUAAAAUGUGUAGUUUGUAGUUUGUGCAAGUGAAAAAUAUGUGUUAUUGAAUCUUGACUCAACAAAUUGAAUUUCAUCGUGCCAGUAAUAUCGAAGAUAUAGGAAUUUAUCGUGAAGCCGUGUAAAAAUGGCGUCAAAAAAAUGCGAAUGGAAGGCAGUCUUUCGAAAAAAACGCCAAUAGUAUUUGGAGCAGUUGGAACGCGAAUGGAGGCACGGCGUCUAACUUGGGAAGCCAUCGACUUUGUAGCCAUCGGCUAAACCAUGCGUGUAGUCCCUAUUUAGCGUACCAGUUGACGCAGAACGGAACGAUAAGCUUCUUAGCGAAGCACCACAUCUACCAAGGGAUGCAGCUAACGAUUGAUUACAGAUUGAUCGAAGAUGACAACUGUUGACACGUCUGUAUGUUGACAUAAGAGCGAUAAUAAGUGCGAGAUAAUGAUAAAGGCAGGUGCGCUUAUCGAUUAAACCGAUAAGCUGAUCGACGGUGCCAUAAAACACCGUAAAGAGCUAGAGAGAGAGAGAGAGAGUUAAGCUUGCUGCUUGCUGCAGUGUGCUAGUGUAUAACUUAAAAUGUGUAGUUUGUAGUUUGUGCAAGUGAAAAAUAUGUGUUAUUGAAUCUUGACUCAACAAAUUGAAUUUCAUCGUGCCAGUAAUAUCGAAGAUAUAGGAAUUUAUCGUGAAGCCGUGUAAAAAUGGCGUCCAAAAAAAUGCGAAUGGAAGGCAGUCUUUCGAAAAAAACGCCAAUAGUAUUUGGAGCAGUUGGAACGCGAAUGGAGGCACGGCGUCUAACUUGGGAAGCCAUCGACUUUGUAGCCAUCGGCUAAACCAUGCGUGUAGUCCCUAUUUAGCGUACCAGUUGACGCAGAACGGAACGAUAAGCUUCUUAGCGAAGCACCACAUCUACCAAGGGAUGCAGCUAACGAUUGAUUACAGAUUGAUCGAAGAUGACAACUGUUGACACGUCUGUAUGUUGACAUAAGAGCGAUAAUAAGUGCGAGAUAAUGAUAAAGGCAGGUGCGCUUAUCGAUUAAACCGAUAAGCUGAUCGACGGUGCCAUAAAACACCGUAAAGAGCUAGAGAGAGAGAGAGAGUUAAGCUUGCUGCUUGCUGCAGUGUGCUAGUGUAUAACUUAAAAUGUGUAGUUUGUAGUUUGUGCAAGUGAAAAAUAUGUGUUAUUGAAUCUUGACUCAACAAAUUGAAUUUCAUCGUGCCAGUAAUAUCGAAGAUAUAGGAAUUUAUCGUGAAGCCGUGUAAAAAUGGCGUCCAAAAAAAUGCGAAUGGAAGGCAGUCUUUCGAAAAAAACGCCAAUAGUAUUUGGAGUAGUUGGAACGCGAAUGGAGGCACGGCGUCUAACUUGGGAAGCCAUCGACUUUGUAGCCAUCGGCUAAACCAUGCGUGUAGUCCCAAUUUAGCAUACCAGUUGACGCAGAACGGAACGAUAAGCUUCUUAGCGAAGCACCACAUCUACCAAGGGAUGCAGCUAACGAUUGAUUACAGAUUGAUCGAAGAUGACAACUGUUGACACGUCUGUAUGUUGACAUAAGAGCGAUAAUAAGUGCGAGAUAAUGAUAAAGGCAGGUGCGCUUAUCGAUUAAACCGAUAAGCUGAUCGACGGUGCCAUAAAACACCGUAAAGAGCUAGAGAGAGAGAGAGAGAGAGAGAGUUAAGCUUGCUGCUUGCUGCAGUGUGCUAGUGUAUAACUUAAAAUGUGUAGUUUGUAGUUUGUGCAAGUGAAAAAUAUGUGUUAUUGAAUCUUGACUCAACAAAUUGAAUUUCAUCGUGCCAGUAAUGUAAGAAUUAUUAAAAAUGAUUUCACUUUAUGUAAUAAUUUUUCCAAAUUUAAAGUGGCCUCAUUUUUUCAUCAAAGAUCGAAGAUAUAGGAAUUUAUCGUGAAGCCGUGUAAAAAUGGCGUCCAAAAAAAUGCGAAUGGAAGGCAGUCUUUCGAAAAAAACGCGAAUAGUAUUUGGAGCAGUUGGAACGCGAAUGGAGGCACGGCGUCUAACUUGGGAAGCCAUCGACUUUGUAGCCAUCGGCUAAACCAUGCGUGUAGUCCCAAUUUAGCAUACCAGUUGACGCAGAACGGAACGAUAAGCUUCUUAGCGAAGCACCACAUCUACCAAGGGAUGCAGCUAACGAUUGAUUACAGAUUGAUCGAAGAUGACAACUGUUGACACGUCUGUAUGUUGACAUAAGAGCGAUAAUAAGUGCGAGAUAAUGAUAAAGGCAGGUGCGCUUAUCGAUUAAACCGAUAAGCUGAUCGACGGUGCCAUAAAACACCGUAAAGAGCUAGAGAGAGAGAGAGAGAGUUAAAAGGAAUGUUCGGAGCGGUCAGGGUUCGCGCGCUAGGUCAAAGAUGGAAGAUAUAGGAAUUUAUCGUGAAGCCGUGUAAAAAUGGCGUCCAAAAAUGCGAAUGUAUGGCAGUCUUUCGAAAAAAACGCCAAUAGUAUUUGGAGCAGUUGGAACGCGAAUGGAGGCACGGCGUCUAACUUGGGAAGCCAUCGACUUUGUAGCCAUCGGCUAAACCAUGCGUGUAGUCCCAAUUUAGCGUACCAGUUGACGCAGAACGGAACGAUAAGCUUCUUAGCGAAGCACCCCAUCUACCAAGGGAUGCAGCUAACGAUUGAUUACAGAUUGAUCGAAGAUGACAACUGUUGACACGUCUGUAUGUUGACAUAAGAGCGAUAAUAAGUGCGAGAUAAUGAUAAAGGCAGGUGCGCUUAUCGAUUAAACCGAUAAGCUGAUCGACGGUGCCAUAAAACACCGUAAAGAGCGAGAGAGAGAGAGAGAGUUAAGCUUGCUGCUUGCUGCAGUGUGCUAGUGUAUAACUUAAAAUGUGUAGUUUGUAGUUUGUGCAAGUGAAAAAUAUGUGUUAUUGAAUCUUGACUCAACAAAUUGAAUUUCAUCGUGCCAGUAAUGUAAGAAUUAUUAAAAAUGAUUUCACUUUAUGUAAUAAUUUUUCCAAAUUUAAAGUGGCCUCAUUUUUUCAUCAAAGAUCGAAGAUAUAGGAAUUUAUCGUGAAGCCGUGUAAAAAUGGCGUCCAAAAAAAUGCGAAUGGAAGGCAGUCUUUCGAAAAAAACGCCAAUAGUAUUUGGAGUAGUUGGAACGCGAAUGGAGGCACGGCGUCUAACUUGGGAAGCCAUCGACUUUGUAGCCAUCGGCUAAACCAUGCGUGUAGUCCCAAUUUAGCGUACCAGUUGACGCAGAACGGAACGAUAAGCUUCUUAGCGAAGCACCACAUCUACCAAGGGAUGCAGCUAACGAUUGAUUACAGAUUGAUCGAAGAUGACAACUGUUGACACGUCUGUAUGUUGACAUAAGAGCGAUAAUAAGUGCGAGAUAAUGAUAAAGGCAGGUGCGCUUAUCGAUUAAACCGAUAAGCUGAUCGACGGUGCCAUAAAACACCGUAAAGAGCUAGAGAGAGAGAGAGAGAGAGAGAGUUAAGCUUGCUGCUUGCUGCAGUGUGCUAGUGUAUAACUUAAAAUGUGUAGUUUGUAGUUUGUGCAAGUGAAAAAUAUGUGUUAUUGAAUCUUGACUCAACAAAUUGAAUUUCAUCGUGCCAGUAAUGUAAGAAUUAUUAAAAAUGAUUUCACUUUAUGUAAUAAUUUUUCCAAAUUUAAAGUGGCCUCAUUUUUUCAUCAAAGAUCGAAGAUAUAGGAAUUUAUCGUGAAGCCGUGUAAAAAUGGCGUCCAAAAAAAUGCGAAUGGAAGGCAGUCUUUCGAAAAAAACGCCAAUAGUAUUUGGAGCAGUUGGAACGCGAAUGGAGGCACGGCGUCUAACUUGGGAAGCCAUCGACUUUGUAGCCAUCGGCUAAACCAUGCGUGUAGUCCCAAUUUAGCGUACCAGUUGACGCAGAACGGAACGAUAAGCUUCUUAGCGAAGCACCACAUCUACCAAGGGAUGCAGCUAACGAUUGAUUACAGAUUGAUCGAAGAUGACAACUGUUGCCGGUGUAUUUUGUGGAUUCACAAAACCGGAUCACGUGAAAGGAUUUUUGCGGCCUCACGUUGAUGAAGUAAACAAGCUUCAAUCAAGUGGCUUGCGGUUCGGCAACAAGACAGUGGGCGUUAAACUUCACAUGUCUGAUUUACCCGCCCGCUGCUUUGCCAAAGCUACCAUAAGCUACGUUGGCAAACACAGCUGCCAUAAAUGUACAUGCAUGGGAGUACACGAAGGGAAAAAUGUCAUUGUUGAAGAUGUGGAUGCUGAAUUGCGGACUGAGGAAAGCUUUAAAGGCAGGACGGAUAAGGAACAUCACAAAAGUUGGAAGUCACCAAGAUGUGAUAUUCACCUUUAUCAACGAAUUCUUCAUCCUGGCUGUUUGCCCCCUUUCCUGUUAGCAUACGAAUCACCGCGCAGUGAUCCGCAUCCCAGUCGGCACCAACGUGGAGGUAGGAAUAGGAGUUGCGAGAGCGUUCCGGGCGCAUAUACAACAAUGACACAUUGUCUGCUGGUCGCCCUGCUCGUCGCCGUUUACCGACCGACCAAGCGUACUUGGCCCGUUCUGACGAACGCAUGGUUGGUCAGCCCUUUGCGUAAAGAAGGGCUGCCAAACCCAAAACAAAAGCAUUGCAUUCCACCAUCGACCAGCCCAUGCUGGGUCUGUUGGGACGAGCAAUGCGAUGAGGGCGAAGGUAUGGAAAAAAUAAAAAUAAAAAAAUAAAAUCCAUCAUUACUACAUGCAGACCGUGGUGGCAUGGCGUUUGGGACAGUGAAGCGUUCGAUUGAGCCCAUCGCAGUCGCAGGGUUAGCUUGAGAGCUAGUAUGUUAGUUUACAAACAACAAAUAACAAAUGUUCCGUCCAGUGUUAUCCGUUAUCAGACGUUAUCCGACGACUGAUCGAUCUAAAAAUCAGAUAUAAAAAAGAACGGUAUUAAUUAAUCGCCUAAAAUCGCAUGGUGCGCAAACACUUUGACGCACUCCAGCGUGGUAUUGUGGUAUAAAAAGUAGUAUAUUACGUAUAGAAGCUAUAUGAUAGCUAUAUGAGAGACGCCCGUAAAUCUAGUGUUGAAGCCGCUGCAUCGUCUUAGGCCACUACCUGCUUGAUUGCUACGGGAAGAUGUUGUGUAAAGAUCGCUGCUUCGUUCCGAGCUGCUGCUACGGCUCGGUGAGGUUGAUUGUAGUGUUCCGCAAUGUCCCACGCUCGCUGCAGUUGUGGCGUGGCCGCUGCUGUUGAACGGUUUCCUAUCGAACAGGCUUCGAACAUACUCCACAUUCUCCGGGACGCCGACGCAACACUGACAAUCCGCGGACGACGUGAAUCCCUAGGAAUCCCGUGAAUCCCAGAUGGAAGGUCACAUCUCGAUGUGUCCGCGAUUGUCAGUCUCCGACGGAUGGUAACACGCGGUGCGUCCACCGCGUAUACCGGCUGGCUGCUGAGUCGGCUGCGUCGGCAUCCCACUGCUUCUGCUAGUCCGCGAUGGUUGGCAGCUUCUCCGCUGCCCGGAACUCCUUGCUCGUUUCCACCCGGUCACACCGGAUACCAGGACGGCUUCAGUGUUCGGUGGGGCGAGCUCGCUCGUUUCCGCCCGGUCACACCGGCUACCAGGACGGAUUUGGUCUUCGUCGGAGGGAGCUCGCUCGUUUCCGCCCGGUCACACCGGCUACCGGGACGGAAUCAUUCUUCGUCGGAGGGAGCUCGCUCGUUUCGGCCCGGUCACACCGGCUGCCAGGACGGAUUUGAUCUUCGUCGGAGCGAGCUCGAGCCCAUGCUGCUGCAUCCAUCGAUGAACUUCUGCCACAGCUUCCUCAGCAACAGCCGUAGAUCGUCUGGAUAUCUGAUGACCUUGGCGCCGGGGGCCGUCCACAUCCCGAACUGUGUAUGUGUGUGUGUAUUGUCUGCGUAUCUAUCGUCCAGUAAAAUGUUAAUGCUCUCUUGCAUACCAAUGACCGUGCUAAAUCGAACCACAUUCGCACAAGUUCCCAGCGCUGGCAAGCGGUACGUUCGAGACCAUACCUGAAGAUGACAUUCCGAGCGAUACGUUAUGUAUAGGUGCCCCUUGUUUGAAGAGAGAUUGCUUCAAAAUAAUUGCAUACUACGAAUCGUAACCUGGAUUGGCAAAUUUGCGAUGCCGGUGGUACUACCGAACUAUCUAAAUCCUUCUAAACUAUCUAAAUCUAAACUAUCUAAACUAUCUAUCUACGGGAAGAUAUUGUGUAAAGAUUGCUGCUUUGUUCCGAGCUGCUGCUACGGCUCGGUGAGGUUGAUUGUAGUGUUCCGCAAUGUCCCACGCUCGCUGCAGUUGUGGCGUGGCCGCUGCUGUUGAACGGUUUCCUAUCGAACAGGCUUCGAACAUACUCCACAUUCUCCGGGACGCCGACGCAACACUGACAAUCCGCGGACGACGUGAAUCCCUUGGCACACAGAUAGUCAUGGAACAAUCCGCGGUCCUGACAGUAUGCGGGCCAGAUGGAAGGUCACAUCUCGAUGUGUCCGCGAUUGUCAGUCUCCGACGGAUGGUAACACGCGGUGCGUCCACCGCGUAUACCGGCUGGCUGCUGAGUCGGCUGCGUCGGCAUCCCACUGCUUCUGCUAGUCCGCGAUGGUUGGCAGCUUCUCCGCUGCCCGGAACUCCUUGCUCGUUUCCACCCGGUCACACCGGAUACCAGGACGGCUUCAGUGUUCGGUGGGGCGAGCUCGCUCGUUUCCGCCCGGUCACACCGGCUACCGGGACGGAAUCAUUCUUCGUCGGAGGGAGCUCGCUCGUUUCCGCCCGGUCACACCGGAUACCAGGACGGAUUUGUUUUUCGUCGGAGGGAGCUCGCUCGUUUCCGCGCGGUCACACCGGCUACCGGGACGGAAUCAUUCUUCGUCGGAGGGAGCUCGCUCGUUUCCGCCCGGUCACACCGGCUACCGGGACGGAAUCAUUCUUCGUCGGAGGGAGCUCGCUCGUUUCCGCCCGGUCACACCGGAUACCAGGACGGAUUUGAUCUUCGUCGGAGGGAGCUCGCUCGUUUCCGCCCGGUCACACCGGCUACCGGGACGGAAUCAUUCUUCGUCGGAGGGAGCUCGCUCGUUUCCGCCCGGUCACACCGGCUACCAGGACGGAUUUGAUCUUCGUCGGAGGGAGCUCGCUCGUUUCCGCCCGGUCACACCGGCUACCAGGACGGAUUUGAUCUUCGUCGGAGCGAGCUCGAGCCCAUGCUGCUGCAUCCAUCGAUGAACUUCUGCCACAGCUUCCUCAGCAACAGCAGUAGAUCGUCUGGAUAUCUGAUGACCUUGGCGCCGGGGGGCGUCCACAUCCCGAACUGUGUAUGUGUGUGUGUAUUGUCUGCGUAUCUAUCGUCCAGUAAAAUGUUAAUGCUCUCUUGCAUACCAAUGACCGUGCUAAAUCGAACGACAUUCACACAAGUUCCCAACGCUGGCAAGCGGUACGAUCGAGACCAUACCUGAAGAUGACAUUCCGAGCGAUACGUUAUGUAUAGGCGCCCCUUGUUUGAAGAGAGAUUGCUUCAAAAUAAUUGCAUACUACGAAUCGUAACCUGGAUUGGCAAAUUUGCGAUGCCGGUGGUACUACCGAACUAUCUAAAUCCUUCAAUUAACUGCCCAAACUAAGGGUAAACGUGUACCCUAGUAGGGGUACAUUCGCACGAGAAAUUGUCACGCUUGUCGCUCUUUUUCGAUGCGAUUUGUGCUCACUUGAAACACUGCGAUAUCUGGCCGACGGUCAACGUGCUUAAUCAAUUACUACAUCGUUAGUACGAAUGAGGAUGAGAAUGAAAGUAAGAGCAGGCUUUGGAAGCAGCUGAACUCUUACGUCUUAGCCUAAGAUGAUUGAUGGGAGAUGAUUCUCAUAGCUACUUAGAGUGUAGUGUUAGUUUUAACGCUUAAGUAUCUGAUCAAGCGGCAUGGGGACCACUUAUAAGACCAGUGAUCUUAACUAACUUAACUAACUUAACUAACUUAACUAACUUAACUAACUUAACAGCUUGCUUAAGCACUUUGACCGCCAGGCCUGAUGUCGCAGUUUCGGUGCAUUUUUGUGUCUGUUUUUGUUUCUAUAAUGAUUAAAUUUUGCUGAUUCAAGUACAAAUGCAAUGAUAUCUCAGUUUCAAUGGAACGGUCGCCACUACAUUUCGUGAAGCUAUUUUAGGUUGAGAUACUUGCGGGGAAUGGUGUGAAGAAAAUGAUGAAAAACCACCGCCGUUGCAGUUUGCCCUGCAGCAUGUCGAAACAUAGCUGAUAAAUACUUGUAACUGAAACUGUAACUUAUCGUAUCGGCAUCAUUAUCGUUCGCCUUAAUAAACAUGCAUUUUGUGCGGUACUUGAGUUCAUCGGUAAGCGUAGGACAAUAAAAUGUCGCUUUGCGUAGAACCGUACAGCGUGAGAAGAAACCAGGAAACAAACUGCAUGAUGCAUCAUACAUAUGCAUAGCAAUAAUUGAAUCCGGUAAGAUUACAACGCAGAGCGCAUCGGUCAUAAAAUCUCAAGUGUGUUUAGAAAACGGAAAGAAAUAUGAAAUAGGCAUAGCAAAAUCAUAUACGAAUGCAUCACACCUACACAUUGACACAAGAUGUGCAUAAAUAAACAACACACACAAAUUAUUGCAAAACAUAAAUCAGGGUUUUCGUGAAAUAAAGACAGAUUGGUAAAGACAGUAAAUGAAGACGCGCGUAUCAUAAUUCAAGAGCUGGGAGUGUCUUCCCUCUUACGAUUUCAGUAAGUGAAAUUUCUUACAAAUUUCCAAGAUCGCCUAGACGUAUAAAGUGAGAAGUUUAACAACAAACAAUUCAUAUAAUACAGUCCCCUUUCCUGUUAGCAUACGAAUCAUGGUGAAUUGAUCCGCAUCCCGGUCGGCACCAACGUGGAGGUAGGAAUAGGAGUUGCGAGAGCAUUACGGGCGCAUAUACAACAAUGGCACCGACUCAACCAGGCACAUUGUCUGCUGGUCGCCCUGCUCGUCGCCGUUUACCGACCGACCAAGCGUACUAGUACUUAAGCUUGGCCCGUUCUGACGAACGAAUGGUUCGCCAACCCUUUUGCGAAAAGAAGGGCUGCCAAACUCAAAACCAAAGCAUUGCAUUCCGCUAUCGACCAGCCCAUGCUGGGUCUGUUGGGACGAGCAAUGCGAUGAGGGCGAAGGUAUGGAAAAAAAUAAAACGCGCACCACCGGGGUACGGGGUAUAAAAUGCAUUCCAGGCAAAUGGCUGUGUUGACACGCCAAAAUAUAAACACUGCAAAGGCUGGGACAAACAGAGGUGCUCGAUCUGAGCGCAAAGAGACGGUCCCAGAAGCUGCUGCUGCAAUCAAGCACCAACAUGGACGAUUACUUUGAUCGCUGCGACACCGUAGAAGAGGCAAAUGCAAGGGCACGACAAGUCCACCUGAUGCAUAGCAAAGCCGGUUUUAAUACAAUUGGAGUGAGUAAUGAGUCAACAGGGGUUUCAUGGUGGUGGCUGGUUUCGCUAAGACACUGUUUGACGUUUGGUGAAUAAAUGACGCUUCAAAUAUGAAGUAGUACUUUUCGAAAAGCUUAAUACUUUUUUCCACCGUUUUAAAAUGAUUCCAGAUGGGACUUUUGUAUCCACACUUUUCAGCCAUCUAGACCCAUAUCGCACUGUUAAAUAAUGUUCAUGUUUUAAGUAUAUUUUGCUUACCUUAUAUUUGAUGCUACUUCAACACUACUCAGCUCGAAGAGCUUCAAGAUCAAAUUCGCGUUUUUAACAGCUAUUACGCACUUGGCCUAUCUGCUCUCUGGUCGACAGAGAUUUGUCAAAACUGAGCAAAGACUAGCACGAACAAAACACACGCACAAAUGUCACCAAUAUUCUUAACACUUACCUAUACCUUGUACACAGUAUCAGACACGCUCAAGGACUCUACAGUAAUCUGUGUAAAUCUGGGUCAAAAUGAUGAGCGUAAUCAGUUUAGCCGUGCACGUGUAGAUCGAACACUGAUGGAUCACUUCGAACGCGUUUACACUGAUCAUUAACGAUUAUCACCGCUGGUUCGGGCAUGCCAAUCGCGAAGCGGUUGUGAAUGAGAUUAGGUAGCGGCAUUAGAUACAGCGCCCGCGUUCGUGUGUCUCCAGAACAAUGACACACUGUCAACUCACUUGCCACUUUUGGGACAGAUGGCUCAAAGAACACGUUCCGACUCUUCAUCGGCGAGCCAAAUGGCAAAGAGAAAGCGAACAGUUGACGGUGGGAGCUUUGGUCUUCAUGACAAAAGGAGCUCGAAAGCAAUGGCCACAGCAGAGUGAGAGAGAGAGAGAGAGAGAGAGAGAGAGAGAGAGAGAGAGAGAGAGAGAGAGGAAGAGAACAAUCGGGAUCGGGAAUAAGUACCUUUUUAAAUCCACGCUGAGCAAAGGUCCAGUUAUCGCUUUCACAGGUUGAUUGCAUGUAGCAUAUUAAGCUUACUGGCUAUAUGAUAGCUAUAUAAAACCUAGUGUUGAAGCCGCUGCAUCGUGCAAGGCUCCUACAAGGUGUGUUUGUGUUUGUGUGUGUGUGUGUGUGUGUAUGUGUGUGUGUGCGUGUAUUGUCUAUGUAUCUGCCCUCAUGUUAAGUGUGUAUGCAUUCAUGCAAACAUACCAAUGACCGGGCUAAAUCGAACGAUAUCUGCGCAAGUUCCCCAACAGCGGGAACAGAAAGGUCAAAACUAUCCAAGCGACGUUAAACAAUCCAGCAGUGCGUGUAUUGUAAUCCAUGGGUUGCCGCGAUUGUUGCGUUAAAAAUUAUUUAUUUUUAAAUCAUGCUUUAUGGACAAGGCAUGCCAUGUGAGAUAAAUUGUUAACUGAUUCCUUACGAAAAAGCACUUUGACAAUCGUUGAACUCGUGAACAGCAACAGUAACAGCAACAGGUGUUUUGAAAUAUUCGCUUUUGCUUUCAAAUGCGAUCGAAAAUAUCCCUCAAAAUAGUUUAUGGCCAAAAUAGUUUAUUGACAAAUUUAUGGGUUCAUCACGGAGUUAUUUUCACCUGCUUUAACAAAACGUUAUUUGCACUUUGAAUAGUAGUAUCCCAUGAGACAACAGACAACCUCUAUCACCUCACCUUGACACCUCUAUCAGUCGAACCAUGGUGACCAAAGAAGGGAACUAACCAACUUAGAAGUGUGCGCGAACAACGAAUGACACCCCGCAGCGUCUUAACUAAUUAACUUUCAAAUGAUGUUCAUGUAAAGAAAUUGUCCCUCCUAGUUUUUUUU